AGUGAACGCUGGCGGCAGGCCUAACACAUGCAAGUCGAACGGAUGAAGAGAGCUUGCUCCUGGAUUCAGCUGCGGACUGGCGAGUGAGGCCUAGGAAUCUGCCUGUUAGUUUUUUAUAACGUCAUAAAGCAGGCACUAAUACGGCAUACGUCCUUAGGAAGAAAGGGUGAGAGCUUCGGACCUCACGCUAUCACAUGAUCCUAUGUCGGAUUAGCUAGUUGGCGGGGUAAAGGCCUACCAAGGCGACGAUCCGUAACUGGUCUGAGAGGAUGAUCAGUCACACUGGAACUGAGACACGGUCCAGACUCCUACGGGAGGCAGCAGUGGGGAAUAUUGGACAAUGGGCGAAAGCCUGAUCCAGCCAUGCCGCGUGUGUGAAGAAGGUCUUCGGAUUGUAAAGCACUUUAAGUUGGGAGGAAGGGCAGUAAGUUAAUACCUUGCUGUUUUGACGUUACCAACAGAAUAAGCACCGGCUAACUUCGUG
rnacentral:rRNA from 1 species